rnacentral:rRNA from 1 species
CCUACGGGUGGCAGCAGUGAGGAAUAUUGGUCAAUGGACGAGAGUCUGAACCAGCCAAGUAGCGUGAAGGAUGAAUGCCCUAUGGGUUGUAAACUUCUUUUAUAUGGGAAUAAAAUGUUCCACGUGUGGGAUUUUGUAUGUCCCAUAUGAAUAAGGAUCGGCUAACUCCGUGCCAGCAGCCGCGGUAAUACGGAGGAUCCGAGCGUUAUCCGGAUUUAUUGGGUGUAAAGGGAGCGUAGGUGGAUUGUUAAGUCAGUUGUGAAAGUUUGCGGCUCAACCGUAAAAUUGCAGUUGAAACUGGCAGUCUUGAGUGCAGUAGAGGUGGGCGGAAUUCGUGGUGUAGCGGUGAAAUGCUUAGAUAUCACGAAGAACUCCGAUUGCGAAGGCAGUUCACUGGACUGCAACUGACACUGAGGCUCGAAAGUGUGGGUAUCAAACAGGAUUAGAUACCCCUGUAGUC